GACGAACGCUGGCGGCGUGCUUAACACAUGCAAGUCGAACGGAAAGGCCUGCUUUCCCUUGUGGAUUGCGGGUACUCGAGUGGCGAACGGGUGAGUAACACGUGAGUGGUCUGCCCCCAACUUGGGUAUAAGCCUGGGAAACUGGGUCUAAUUCCCGAUAGGACUGCAGGGUGGUGCCUGUGGUGGAAAACGAUUUUCUAGUGGUUGGGGAUGAGCUCGCGGCCUAUCAGCUUGUUGGUGGGGUAAUGGCCUACCAAGGCGGCGACGGGUAGCCGGCCUGAGAGGGUGGACGGCCACAUUGGGACUGAGAUACGGCCCAGACUCCUACGGGAGGCAGCAGUGGGGAAUAUUGCACAAUGGGCGGAAGCCUGAUGCAGCGACGCCGCGUGGGGGAUGACGGCCUUCGGGUUGUAAACUCCUUUCGACCGCGAGGAAGCCACCUGGUUGGAAGGGUGGUGACGGUAGUGGUAGAAGAAGCACCGGCUAACUACGUG
rnacentral:rRNA from 1 species